GACGAACGCUGGCGGCGUGCUUAACACAUGCAAGUCGAACGGAAAGGCCCUGCUUUUGUGGGGUGCUCGAGUGGCGAACGGGUGAGUAACACGUGAGUAACCUGCCCUUUACUUUGGGAUAACUUCAGGAAACUGGUGCUAAUACCUGAUAGGAGCUCCUGCUGCAUGGUGGGGGUUGGAACGUUUCGGCGGUUGGGGAUGGACUCGCGGCUUAUCAGCUUGUUGGUGGGGUAGUGGCUUACCAAGGCUUUGACGGGUAGCCGGCCUGAGAGGGUGACCGGCCACAUUGGGACUGAGAUACGGCCCAGACUCCUACGGGAGGCAGCAGUGGGGAAUAUUGCACAAUGGGCGGAAGCCUGAUGCAGCAACGCCGCGUGCGGGAUGAAGGCCUUCGGGUUGUAAACCGCUUUCGCCUGUGACGAAGCGUGAGUGACGGUAAUGGGUAAAGAAGCACCGGCUAACUACGUG
rnacentral:rRNA from 1 species